rnacentral:rRNA from 1 species
UACGUAGGUGGCAAGCGUUGUCCGGAUUUACUGGGCGUAAAGCGCGCGCAGGCGGACCGUUAAGUAGGAAGUGAAAGGUCGGAGCUCAACUCCAACAUUGCUUUCUAUACUGGCGGUCUUGAGUCUCGGAGGGGAAAGCGGAACGACACGUGUAGCGGUGAAAUGCGUUGAUAUGUGUAGGAACACCAAUGGCGAAGGCAGCUACCUGGACAAUUGCUGACGCUCAGGCACGAAAGCGUGGGGAGCAAAAGGG